CCCUCCCACACUGAAGAUGAGCUUGUAGAUCUUGGAGACGUUGACAUUGGACCUGCCCCCCACAGGCUUGUGAAUGGAUGGGAGCUCUAGGUAUAUAGGACGCAGACUUGAAUCUACAGCUGAGACCUCAUCAGAUCAGAAAAAGCCUUGUCCCCAUUUCCUGCCCUCCCUCCAGAGACCCUGCUUUUGUGGCUGCAUCCUGAGAAGCAAGGCCAUGCUCCAUGAACGGACCCCCAUAUGCCCUCCAACCUAUCCCUGCAGUUUCUCCAAAGCUUCCCCCCAGACUUAAAGGGUAUAAGGAAAGACUGCCAGGACUUCUUAUGCCAUGGGAAUAGCCUUUGAAGCUGGUACAGCUGGGAGGUGAAAGGAGAUGACAUCCUACCAGUGAGGUGAAAAAUGUUCUCUUCAGUCCCUUCUGCCUCAGAAAGGUAAAGCAUUUACUGUCAAAGAAAAAAAAAAGAUUUAAACCUUACUCUGCAUUUUUUGGCUCAUCUGCCAGAAACAAUUUUAUUUUACAUUAAUCUAAUAUCCAAGCAUUUCUAGCCUGGUGAGCAAGAUGCCCAAACUGGUCCCCUAUUCCAUGUCUUCCAAUACAACUCCCUAAAAACAGUGGCUGACCUGCACUAAGAAAGGAAUUGUCCUCAUCUGGAAGUUCCCUCCGAGUAAAAUCACAAGUCCAGUCCCUGCCCCAAUUUUAAAAGGUAAGCCCAUCUGUUAACAUCAAUAUUCUCCCAGUAUAAAGAUGAUUUGGGGUUACCUUUAUAGGAAUCUUGAACCCAGGGGAAAAUCCAAUAUGUUAUUAUAGAGUUUGGGGGAUUAAAAUUCCAAGAGAGUUGAAUAACAAUCUCAUUCCCUCCUGGACAGCUCCCUUCAUUCCUGGAGGAAAGAAUGGAACUUCCUCCUUUAAUGUUCUCUCUGUUCUCUGUGUAGAAAAUGGGAGGUCAUAGAGCCAGUUUCUUCAAGCAGAUGAGCAAAGAAGAAGUUUUCCUUAGAUGGGUCAAUAAUUUAAUUGAUUCAGGGGUGGGGAAGGUAAGGAGGUAAGCAAGACAAGAAUCUGUUAUUGUUCAGUUGUGUCUGACUCUUCCUGGACCCAUUUGGGGUUUUCUUGGCAGAGAUACUGGAAUGGUUCACCAUUUCCUUCUCCAGCUCAUUUUACAGAUGAAGAAACUGAGGUGAACAGGGUUAAGUGACUUGCCCAAGGCCACACAGCUUGGAAGUGUUCAAGGUUGAAUUUGAACUCAUUUUCCUAACUCCAGAUCUAGCACUCUAUCCGCUGCACCACCUAGCUG
ensembl:lncRNA